rnacentral:misc_RNA from 1 species
AUAUAUAUCAUCAACCCCUCUCUCUUGUUUGAGAGAGUGGCUUGGAUGUGGGGGUUUGCUGGCCCUGUUCAGCUUCCCUGAAAUGCAUUAGUGGAACGACCUGUUCAUUCAUCGGUGUGAUAACUAUCUACGCUGUCGAAUGUGAGGUGGCUGUUCAGCUCUCCAACCGUCCUCGGACAAUUUGCUGUUGU